rnacentral:rRNA from 1 species
GAUGAACGCUGGCGGCGUGCCUAAUACAUGCAAGUCGAGCGAACGGACGAGAAGCUUGCUUCUCUGAUGUUAGCGGCGGACGGGUGAGUAACACGUGGAUAACCUACCUAUAAGACUGGGAUAACUUCGGGAAACCGGAGCUAAUACCGGAUAAUAUUUUGAACCGCAUGGUUCAAAAGUGAAAGACGGUCUUGCUGUCACUUAUAGAUGGAUCCGCGCUGCAUUAGCUAGUUGGUAAGGUAACGGCUUACCAAGGCAACGAUGCAUAGCCGACCUGAGAGGGUGAUCGGCCACACUGGAACUGAGACACGGUCCAGACUCCUACGGGAGGCAGCAGUAGGGAAUCUUCCGCAAUGGGCGAAAGCCUGACGGAGCAACGCCGCGUGAGUGAUGAAGGUCUUCGGAUCGUAAAACUCUGUUAUUAGGGAAGAACAUAUGUGUAAGUAACUGUGCACAUCUUGACGGUACCUAAUCAGAAAGCCACGGCUAACUACGUGCCAGCAGCCGCGGUAAUACGUAGGUGGCAAGCGUUAUCCGGAAUUAUUGGGCGUAAAGCGCGCGUAGGCGGUUUUUUAAGUCUGAUGUGAAAGCCCACGGCUCAACCGUGGAGGGUCAUUGGAAACUGGAAAACUUGAGUGCAGAAGAGGAAAGUGGAAUUCCAUGUGUAGCGGUGAAAUGCGCAGAGAUAUGGAGGAACACCAGUGGCGAAGGCGACUUUCUGGUCUGUAACUGAUGCUGAUGUGCGAAAGCGUGGGGAUCAAACAGGAUUAGAUACCCUGGUAGUCCACGCCGUAAACGAUGAGUGCUAAGUGUUAGGGGGUUUCCGCCCCUUAGUGCUGCAGCUAACGCAUUAAGCACUCCGCCUGGGGAGUACGACCGCAAGGUUGAAACUCAAAGGAAUUGACGGGGACCCGCACAAGCGGUGGAGCAUGUGGUUUAAUUCGAAGCAACGCGAAGAACCUUACCAAAUCUUGACAUCCUUUGACAACUCUAGAGAUAGAGCUUUCCCCUUCGGGGGACAAAGUGACAGGUGGUGCAUGGUUGUCGUCAGCUCGUGUCGUGAGAUGUUGGGUUAAGUCCCGCAACGAGCGCAACCCUUAAGCUUAGUUGCCAUCAUUAAGUUGGGCACUCUAAGUUGACUGCCGGUGACAAACCGGAGGAAGGUGGGGAUGACGUCAAAUCAUCAUGCCCCUUAUGAUUUGGGCUACACACGUGCUACAAUGGACAAUACAAAGGGCAGCGAAACCGCGAGGUCAAGCAAAUCCCAUAAAGUUGUUCUCAGUUCGGAUUGUAGUCUGCAACUCGACUACAUGAAGCUGGAAUCGCUAGUAAUCGUAGAUCAGCAUGCUACGGUGAAUACGUUCCCGGGUCU